rnacentral:snRNA from 13 species
AGCUUUGUACAGAGGCAGUAUCAUAGCCAAUGAGGUUUAUCUGAGGCACAAUUAUUGCUAGUUGAAACUAUAUAGUCCAGGCUAACCUUGAACUCAAAUCUGUCCUCCUGCCUCAGCCUCCUGAUUUCUGGGAUUACGGGUGUGACCCAUCAUGCCCAUAUGAAGGAUUUUUAGUUACCUUCACAUUUUGCUUUUUAAAUAAUGCUAUAGUGACAAUCUUUGCACUUUUUUUCUUAUUUAUUGUACUUACUUAGAA